UUUGGCGUCUUUUCGAACUUUUGGCAGCUCAACUAGAAUUUAACGAGUAGUUAAUUAAAGGAUCAUGUGUUGGGAGCUUUGUAAUGCGCUAAAGAAACGGAACUUGAGAAAUAUAUUUAAAGAUAGCUCCGAUUUUAAGAUAUUUUACACAUUAGGAGCAACUGUUCUUGUGCUUCUGAAAGUAACGCAAGAAUCAAUAAAUUUUUAUUCUUUGGCAAA